rnacentral:rRNA from 1 species
AGAAUCAACGCUGGCGGCGUGCCUAACACAUGCAAGCCGAACGCGACUGGGGACUUCGGUCCUCAGUUGAGUGGCGAACGGGUGAGUAACACGUGGGUGAUCUACCUCCGAGCGGGGGAUAACGUUCCGAAAGGAACGCUAAUACCGCAUGACGUCCUGGGUUUAAAGACCUGGAGACCAAAGCUAGGGACCGCAAGGCCUGGCACUUGAAGAGGAGCCCGCGUCCGAUUAGCUAGUUGGCGGGGUAAUGGCCCACCAAGGCGACGAUCGGUA